AUAAUCUGUUUACAUCAAAAUAUUGUUUACUCAAGCUCUCUGAUCUCUGGGAAUUUGCAUCCUGCUGAAAAGAUACAGUUAACUCCCAGCACUCAAACACACAAGUUUCAGCUCUCGAAGGUAGAUAGAUUAAGAAGAUCUGACCACUGUGGGUUUCCCCCCUUCUCUUUCUUUCUUUCUUUCUUAACUUAACUCUCCUUGAUAAAGCAUUAAAAUGCCUUUGACAGUUAACCACAGAUGAUAAUGCAGUCUUGAUUCCAUGGUCCCCAUCAGAAUGGAGAAGUUACAAGACCCUCAUUGCUCUGUGAAGAUCAUAGGGGUCCAGCCCCCUCCUUGCUGUCUUGGCGUUUUCAGGACUUUUGUCUUCGUUAGCUAUGUUGUCAUUAAUUACUUACGGAAAGGGGGGAGCAUUCAUACUUACGGCAUUUUGUAAGGAAACUCAUUAAAAUAUUGGAGAAAAGAUCAGUUUGCAUGCAUUUCAACAGGGAAUACUUGGCUUGGUUAAAAAGUUGUCAGAUGGUAGUAAAAUCUCACCCAGAUUUUCUGUCUGGUGUUUUUGUCUCUUGUUAUUUCAUUAGAAAAUUAAAUAUUCAAACUUACAUUUGAUAAACUUCAUAUUUUUAAAAUUCUCAUGUGUAUGCAAAUUGUUAGAGAUUUUGAAACUGAAUUAGAAACAAAUUCUUUUCUUUACCUUUCUUCUCUCUAACCCCCAGUUCUCUAUUAAAUGAAGGACUCAAUAAACAUGUGCCCCCAAAUAAAGAUGAAAUCCUGCAAUUUGUUCAGUCAUGCAAUAUUUUACACAUAGAAGGAUGCAUUCCCAACUCACAGGGAAAUUUAAACCACAUAUUUCCGAUUAACAUUGCUCAUUUUAGAUAAAUGUAAAAAUUCUGGGCGUAGCUUUCAAUGCAAAUCGUCCCACUGACUUUCAAUGGGGCGACUCAUGUGAGUAAGGUAGUGACCCCUAUUGCACCACAGCCUUCAAUGACACUUUAAAAAUGGGCUUUGUGCCAGGGGCUCCUUACAUCAACAGGCCGACGUAAAGCAUGUUUGGAUUGCAAAAUAGGGACGAGGUCACGCACCGUGUAAACGUUUCAUUACACUGCGUCCCCCCCCCCAAGUCACUUUGAAUCAGCCUUUCCUUAAAUGACUUGCAUUUUAUAUUAAGGCUGCCAUUGAAACCUGGUCCUAUCCUGUCUGAAUGAAUGGGUUCCAUUGCAUCAAAUGCAUGGAGUUAGGAGUGCGAAUCAAUGGAGUUACACCAGGGAUUAAUUUGGCCCAUUUAUUUCAAUGGGCAUUCCAAAGAGAGAAUAAGUGAUUAGAAUUUGACCAGUGGCAAACCUUACAUUGUUUCUCAUCAGUACAAAAUCGAUACAAAUGCCAUUAUGUGGAUAAACAAUGGGAUGUGGCUAUGGAUUUGUACAAGGCAGAGGAGGGGAAGAUGUACCAGCACUUAGAUUAUGUAGCUUCUUUGCAAAGAAACCAAGUAAAUGUGCAAAUUCCUUAACUAAGUACUGGUUAAAAUGCCCUGGAAAUUUAAACAAGCUUUCGUGUUGACUUAACUAUAAAAUAAUGAACCCUGUCUCACCACCCUUUUCCCAAAUACUAUUCUAAUACUUGCCAUGCAUCAGGCAAUGAUUUCUGAAUUCAGAGGCUAAAAACAAAUGUUUGCAUCUCCAAAUACUGUAGUUAAAUCUUAACAAUUGAAUUUUUGAUUUGUAAAAAAUUAAAAAUGUAUUGACUACUCUGAGGGUAGUUAAAGUGGGAAUGUCUGGCAAAGUUUAGAGAAUGCCUCUUACAUUUCACUGGAAAAUAAUCCAUUGCUUAAGACUGAGCAAAAAUAAAAAUAGUAACAAAAAAUUGGGCAGAGGGUGUGGGAGAUAAUUUGUAUUAUCUUGGCACUUUGCAGCAACAAAUUUUUCUUGUAUUGUUUUUCUCUUGCAGAAUGGAAAUAUUAGUGGCCUGCUGUAUUCUGAAACUAUUUGAGCUGAAGCCUCCUGGAUUCAGAAAUGUAGUUGAUUUGCUGGAAACACAUUUCCAAAAAACAUCAUCAGGGAUCUCCAGG